rnacentral:rRNA from 1 species
UACGUAGGUGGCAAGCGUUGUCCGGAUUUACUGGGCGUAAAGGGCGUGCAGGCGGUCUGUUAAGUUCAGGGUGAAAGCUCCCGGCUCAACUGGGAGAGGUCCUUGGAUACUGGCAGACUUGAGGAGGGUAGAGGAGAGUGGAAUUCCCGGUGUAGUGGUGAUAUGCGUAGAUAUCGGGAGGAACACCUGUGGCGAAGGCGGCUUUCUGGGCCUUACCUGACGCUGAGACGCGAAAGCGUGGGGAGCGAACCGG